CGGCGGCGUCCGGUUGCCGGCCCGGUGCUGCGCGGAGGCCCAGAAUGGGCUGAGGCGGUGACGGUUGCCCGGACCAAGUCGACCAAGUACAAGCCAGGCUUCAAAAUGGAGAUGUACGAAACCCUUGGCAAAGUGGGAGAGGGCAGUUACGGAACAGUCAUGAAGUGUAAACAUAAGAAUACCGGGCAGAUAGUGGCCAUUAAGAUUUUUUAUGAGAAACCAGAAAAAUCUGUCAACAAGAUUGCAAUGAGAGAAAUAAAGUUCCUAAAGCAAUUUCGUCAUGAAAACCUGGUCAAUCUGAUUGAAGUGUUUAGACAGAAAAAGAAAAUCCAUUUGGUGUUCGAAUUUAUUGACCAUACAGUGUUAGAUGAGCUACAACAUUAUUGUCAUGGACUGGAGAGUAAACGACUCAGGAAAUACCUGUUCCAGAUCCUUCGAGCAAUAGAAUAUCUUCACAAUAACAACAUCAUUCAUCGAGAUAUAAAACCAGAGAAUAUUUUAGUAUCCCAGUCAGGAAUUACUAAGCUCUGUGAUUUUGGUUUUGCACGAACUCUUGCAGCUCCUGGGGACAUUUAUACAGACUAUGUGGCCACACGCUGGUACAGAGCUCCAGAAUUAGUAUUAAAGGAUACGUCUUACGGAAAACCUGUGGAUAUAUGGGCUUUGGGCUGUAUGAUUAUUGAGAUGGCCACUGGGAAUCCCCAUCUACCCAGCAGCUCUGAUUUGGAUUUACUUCAUAAAAUUGUUUCAAAAGUAGGCAAUUUGACACCUCACUUGCAGAGUAUCUUUUCUAAGAAUCCCAUUUUUGCUGGAGUGGUCCUUCCUCAAGUUCAACACCCCAAGAAUGCAAGGAAAAAAUACCCAAAACUUAAUGGAUUGCUGGCAGACAUAGUUCAUGCUUGCUUGCAAAUUGAUCCUGCUGAGAGGAUAUCAUCUACUGAUCUUUUGCAUCAUGAAUAUUUUACUAGAGAUGGAUUUAUUGAAAAAUUUAUACCAGAACUGAAAGCUAAGUUACUACAAGAGGCAAGAGUCAAUUCAUUCAUUAAACCAAAGACAUACUAUAAAGAAAAUGAAUUUAAAGAAGAUGGAAGCAAACCAAUGUUUACCAAUACAUUGCUAAGUAGUUCUGUUUUGAAAAGGGAAAUGGAAAGAGAAAAAAAGCCCAAGGAGGCCAAAGUCAGAGUUGUUAAAGUUAAAGGAGGAAAAGUAGAUCUUUCAGAGCCAAAAAAGACGGAGCAUGAGGAUGGAAGUUGUCAGCAGAAAGCACUUGAAGGUGCUCAUGCUGUGGCUGAAGACAGCAGACCUGCAGUCACGGAACCCCCAAGCUGUGUCAAUCCAAGCACCAAUCCUAAUGGCACGAGAGAGGAUCUGCCUUCUGGAAGCUGUAUGACAAUGCCACCCAUUAACCUAACUUCCAGUAAUUUGAUGACUACUACUCUCAAUUCUAAUUUUUCCCACCCCAGUUCAAGGUUAGCUGAAAGAGCAAAAAGGAGACGCACUUCCUUACAGUAUGUUGGACAAGCUGUGUCUGACAACAGGCAGGAGGAUGGAGGUCCCGUGCAAAGCCAAAUAGAGAAGAAUGUAUUUAAGGGUCAAAGUGGCCAGAUGGCAAUUGGAAACAAAAGGAAGGUGAAUUUUUCCAGACCUGACAGAAAGGAAUUUCAUUUCCCAGAAUUGCCUUUCACAAUACAGUCUAAGGAGAUGAAAGGAAUGGAAGGUGAAUAAUUGUGACUUCAGUGGACGUCAUAAUCUUUUGAAAUUCUUGAAAGUAAAGUUUCAAGCUAGGAAUAACAAAUUAUCAUUAUUUUAUAUAUUUUGCAAAAGUUAAACAGAUAAAAAUGCUGAAGAAGGAUUCAAAGAAAACAGAUUUGUCUAAAAUACAAACUUCACAUCGACCAAAAUCAGGAAAAACAAGAGGGUGGAGAUGGCCAUUAUGAGGGGAAGAAUUUGAAGAGGAACAGAUUUUUUUUCUGGUAGUGUCUUUCAAAUUCUCUUAAAAAUACAAAUUGACAACUCUUCCCUUUUUUUAUGUACAACAGCCAUGCAACAUCAUACAUAUUGUCUUGUUAUCACAGUAUAUUCAGUUUUAUUCUUUCUUCUAAUAUCUCUGUGUGCUUUGCUUGGGAGUGUAUAAAGUCAUCCAUCUCCUCUCU